UUGGUGGGCGAAAAUCUCCGUCUGGGCCACUCCAAAGGGUGUAAAGGAGUGGAGGGAAGGGAAACAAUUCACAAACACAAACUUUGUUUCUUUGGGGACUUGGGCGAAGUCGUCACUUCCUAGUGGUGCAAGGGGAGACUCUCAGUCUGGAUCCCUAUAACCCAACAACUCCUGCCGCCGCCCCCUGCAGCUGCUACUGCUGCUGCUGCUCCUGCUCCAGUUCCAGGCGAAACUGCAGAUGUGACUGAGCAGCUCGUCUCUCUCGCUGGAGCCCUCGGAGCUUCAGGAUCAGGGGCACCCGGACAGCUGCAGAUUUAUAUUUUCUCUCCACGGCCUUACGGUUGUCCCUUUGUCCCAAAUAGCAUCUCUCUGGACCUUACGUGCUCAGUGCUGUUCUGCGGGUAGAAGGAGGAAGUGAAAGCCGCCUUGGUACGGCUUUGCAGCGACACGGCCUCCCUGGGAAAGGCUUGUUCUGGCGAUGUUUUCAUGUUUCAAGUGUUGCUACAGCUUCCAUGCUGGUGCAGCUCCAUUCUCCGUUGCUUUGCUGUUUGGAACUGGCUUCUUAGUUUGGGAAGGCGCUUCUCGGGGUUUCUGGAACUAUGGAUUUAUUCUGGAGCUCGAAGUGACCUAGAAGAAAUGAAGUCCCUGGAAACUCUGAAACGUCACACACAUGCACAAAGCACAAGUGAUAAAGGAAUGGUGGAGGAAGAAGAGACAUUUAAAAAAAAUCCAACUAACUUUAGCUGUUAGCCAAAUCCUUAAGCCGGGUCAGUCAGGGAGGUUUCAGCAAUGAAGGAGGAAAUGGAGAGAAGUAUAUCCAGAAAUAACCUUGAUGUAAAAACAACUUUUAAAAUAUAAACAUACAUAUGUAUGUAUACAUAUAUGUGUAUAUGUGUGUGUGUGUGCGUGUAUGUGUAGUAGAGAACAGGUUGUGUUCAUUGGAAGCAUUGUUCAAUUUCCAAUGUGUGACCCAGCACACCCCUUCCUUC